rnacentral:lncRNA from 1 species
AGCCCUCUAUCCUUCAAAUCGUAUCACCUAGUUUUGUUAGAAUAAAGUUUUUCCACUCUGUAUGUAUUCUCUGCCUUACUGGGUUUCCCAUAAAGUGAACUUUGAAACAAUGAUGUGGGUGUAAGCAGUUUAUUUGUGAAGUGAUCCCAGGAAACAUGUUGGAUGGGAUCACUUCCCAAAGGGAUGGGAUGGGAUGGGAAAGGGAGGGAAGCCAAUGAGGUCCAUUAAUGAGUGUGUUAUCACUAUGGGCAACUGGCAUUCUAUUUUGCUGGUACCCUCUCAGAGACUAUAUCAAACUCCUGUGAAUUGUCCCACUGAGGAAUGAGGAAGCUGGAUUGUUUAUCUACCAUCACCCCUCCUUCUUUAGUUGAGGACUGCUCCUGAGCCUGCUAAUGCCCCGUCAAUUAUAGUCUAUUUGUUGCCCUAGCAUGUUCCUACAGCUGGAGAACAGCCUCAGGCAGAGGACAGAGAAUCCUAUCUGUUCCAGAACUGUUUGCAAGGCCCCUUAUGUUCACCAAAUAGUAUAGUAACACUAUACUAUAUAUAUACACUACCUAGGUGUCAAUUAUCAAUGAAUGGNN